rnacentral:misc_RNA from 1 species
GUGAAUCAUCAAAUUUUUGAACGCAAAUGGCACUCUCUGGUAUUCCGGAGAGUAUGCCUGUUUGAGGGUCAGUUUAAAUAAAAAUCGGUGUGGUUGCUGCCUUUCGUGGUGACGCACCGGAUUUGGGUGGUCUUGCCUUCGGUUAAGUGACCUAAAAUUUUGCAUGAUUUUUUUGAAAGUAGUUAAAUGAUUUUACGUACAGUUGUGAUAUCGCUUAUUGGGUUUGGUUAUGCUCAUGAUUCGCGGC